rnacentral:rRNA from 1 species
AUGGCCAGGCGGGACGACGACUCUGCUUACACGAAUGGAUCGGUGUCGGUGAACGAUUUCUCCGUGGAGGACGGGAGGAAGGAGAAGGAGGUGUCUGCUGAUUACCACCUUGACCAGGACAUGGUCUGUGGCUUCCCCGUCUCUGUUUCUUUUCUUCAGAUGCUCCUCGCCGAGUUAUUCUCCACAUUCUUCUUGCUGUUCGCCGGCAUGGGCGCCAUCGUCGUGAACGGGGAGAAGCAGGGCGCGGUCACGUUCCCGGGCAUCACCGUGGUGUGGGGGAUGGCCGUCAUGGUCAUGGUCUACACCGUCGGCCACAUCUCCGGCGCGCACAUGAACCCCGCCGUCACCGUCGGCUUCGCCAUCGCUCGCCGGUUCCCCUGGAGGCGGGUGCCGGCGUACAUGGCGGUGCAGAUGGUGGCCGCGAUGAUCGCGAGCUUUCUGCUGCGGCUGAUGUUCGGCGGGAAGCACGAGUUCGCGCCGGUGACGCUGCCCACGGGCUCCAACCUCCAGUCGCUGGUGAUGGAGUUCAUCACCACUUUCUACCUCGUCUUCGUCAUCAUGGCCGUGGCUACAGACGACCGAGCAUCAGGGCAGAUGGCUGGGCUGGCUGUGGGCGCGACCAUCAUGCUUAACGCGCUAUUCUCUGGGCCGGUGACGGGAGCAUCGAUGAACCCGGCGAGGAGCAUCGGGCCAGCGCUGGUGGCGGGCAAGUUCAAGUCGCUCUGGGUGUACAUCCUCGGGCCGUUCGCCGGCGGGGCGGCCGGAGCUUGGGCUUACGGCCUCGUCCGCCACACCGGCAAGCCACUGCGCGAGAUCACCAAGAGCGCCGACCGGGCUUGA